rnacentral:rRNA from 1 species
GUGCAGCAGUCGCGAAAACUCCGCAAUGCACGAAAGUGUGACGGGGCUACCCCGAGUGCCGCUCGCUGAGGGCGGCUUUUCCCCGGUGUAAGGAGCCGGGGGAAUAAGGAGAGGGCAAGUCUGGUGUCAGCCGCCGCGGUAAUACCAGCUCUCCGAGUGGUGGGGGUGAUUAUUGGGCUUAAAGCGUCCGUAGCCGGCUUAGCAAGUCUUCCGUUAAAUCCAAUGAUUCAAUCGUUGGACUGCGGGAGAUACUGUUGGGCUAGGGGGCGAGAGAGGCCGACGGUAUUCUUGGGGUAGGGGUAAAAUCCUAUAAUCCUGGGAAGACCACCAGUGGCGAAGGCGGUCGGCUAGAACGCGCUCGACGGUGAGGGACGAAAGCUGGGGGAGCGAACCGGAUUAGAUACCCCUGUAGUCC